AGUGUUCAACAGCAGAUAGUAUUUCAUGGCUAAAGAGACUUUCAAAGCAAUUAUGGCAAUUCAUUUGCAUUUUACUAAUUGUUGAAUUUUUACUAAUUUGGACAACGUUGGAAAAAUAUAAUGGGGAUUAAAAAGGGGAACUGUGAGGACAUAGUUAGGGAAUCAGAAAUGCUAGGAGUCCUGGGAGAGUGCAGAAUUAAAUAUGAGAUGUCUUCCAAAUAAAGGUCACCGAUGGACCUGGAGAGACCAAACACAACAAAGGGACAGAGACACAUUCAUAGAACUAUGGGUGGAGAAGCAAUCCUUAGGACAAAUCAGCUCAGCUCUGUCCCUCUGACUGAUCACUGAAGUGAGGGCACUGGGAGGCCUUAUCAAAUGUGCCUCCGAAUACCACCAUUAUAUUAAGAAGAUAACCAUUUCCCACAUUUGAUGACUUACAUUUGAAGAGCUUUAGAAAUAAUUUAUUAUUUCUGCCUAAGCAUAUUGUUUUGAGGUAGGUGGUCCCAUAAUCAACAGUUACUAUGAUUUGUUAAAGGAUGAUUUUUUAAAAAAAGAUGUAAUUAUGAUUCUAAUACAAACAUAAAAUGAACAUGUGUUAAAGAUUUUAUUUAAUUCAUUAAUGAAUGAGGGAAGCAGUAAGAUGUUGCAACCUGCUCAAAGGAGAAUUCAAAUUUGCAUUUGACACAAAUAGGCAGAAAAGAUGAAAUUAGCAAAUAGAUAAAAAAAUUAAUAUUUACAGGACAAUAAUCAUUAUGUUCUACAGGCCACAUUUUAUUUAUAGUCUUUGGACCAGAUUAAUUUGCACUGCUAUUAAUUUUCUACAACUCACAGGGAUGUAAAUAGCUCAAAGACACUGAUUAUCAGAGAAAGAGAGGGAGAGAGAGAGCACAAGAGAGAGUGAACAGGGAGCAUGAGAGCUUGGAAGGGUGUACUAGACAGUUAAUAAUCUUUAUGAUUAACUUAAAGUCUCUCUCAAUUUUUUACCUAAAGAUCCAAUUAAAAGGUACUUUGCAUAUUUUCCACUCAAGUUCAUUAUUUUUGCUUUUGGGUUCACAUUUCCCUUUUCAAUCAUUGAGUG
rnacentral:lncRNA from 1 species